UACGGAGGGUGCAAGCGUUAUCCGGAAUCACUGGGUUUAAAGGGUGCGUAGGCGGCUUUGUAAGUCAGGGGUGAAAGCCCGCAGCUUAACUGCGGAACUGCCUUUGAUACUGCAGAGCUUGAAAGAGGUUGAGGUCAGCGGAACGUGGCAUGUAGCGGUGAAAUGCAUAGAUAUGUCACAGAACACCAAUUGCGAAGGCAGCUGGCGGGGCCUACUGUGACGCUGAGGCACGAAAGCGUGGGGAGCGAACAGG
rnacentral:rRNA from 1 species